rnacentral:lncRNA from 1 species
UGCAGAAGAAGCUUUUAAAAAAGUUUCAAAAGCAUUCCAACACUUAAUAGAUAAAGAUAAAAGAUAUGAAUAUGAUAACUAUUCUGAUUUAAAUACGCAUAAUAAUAUUAGUAAUAAUGCUUCUCGUGCUUUUAGAACUACUCAUUAUUAUUAUAAUGAUGAUGCAUUCACUGCAGAAGAUAUUUUUCGUAAUUUUUUUGGUAUCAAUUUUGCUACAUGUAAUAAUAGGGCAUAUAGAACUCAUGUUAAUACUAAUAGGACUCAUACAAAUAAUAGCACAAGUGCUAAUACGAGUAAUAAUAAUCAGCGCAACUAUUCAUUGAUACAAUUGUUUUUGUUUUUAAUUAUGUUUAUAGUAUUCUUUUUAUCAAGUCAUUUUGAGCAACCCAAGGUAAAAAUAAAAUAAGCAAUACAAUACAAUACAAUACAGCAUAAAAACAUAUAUACAUUAACAUGUGUAGUUAUGCAAGUUCAAAAGUAUGUGAUCCUAAUUGUGUAUAGCUUAAGCAUUUUUUUUUUUUUUUUUUUUUUUUAUUUAUAUAAAAUAUAUGCUUCAAAAAAAAUAAAAAAAUAAUAUAAGAUGUAACAUAUCCAUCAAACUGACCCAACAAAUUAGGAAUAUGACUUAUUGUUUUAUUUAUUAUUUUUUUUUAUAUACAUAUUUUUUUCUUUUUUCUUUUUUAAUAGGCCAUAUACUCUUUGCAGAAAACAAAUUAUUAUGAUACAUUAAAUUAUACCUCAUUAAACAAAAUAAGAUUUUACACAAAGAGAUCUUUUAAUUAUAAUUAUCCCAAAAACACUCAAAUGCGUUAUCAAAUUGAGUACGAAGUAGAAUACAAAUACUAUGAACAUGAGUGUCAUGUUCUAACCAAGAAAUUAAAAAAUGACUAUUACAAAGAAAAACGUGAAUAUCAACAAAAAUUAAAUUAUCAAGAAAUUCCAGAAAGCUGCAUAAAACUGAAAAAUUUAGAGGAUCAAUACAACGACUACAUUAUGAAAAUGAAAAGAAGAUAACAAAAAAAAAAAAAAAAAAAUGCAUUCAUUUGAUAAAUUAAUUUUUAAAAAUUAAAAUAAACUGUUUGAAAAAAAAUGUACA